AUGAUUUCACACAUCCAGCUGAUCUGGCCCCUGGCAUUCUGUGUCGCAGGUAUCAGUGGGGACAUCACCAUGACCCAGUCUCCCCCGGUGCUGUCAGUGGGACUGGGCCAGACCGCAACCAUCACCUGUAAGGCCAGUCAAAGCAUUAGCAGCUACCUUGCUUGGUACCAGCAGCGAGAAGGUCAGAAACCCUCUCUCCUGAUCUAUUAUGCAACAACUCGAUUCACAGGAGUCUCCGAUCGAUUCACCGGCAGUGGAUCAGGGACCAGUUUCACCCUGACAAUCAGCAACGUUCAGAAUGAGGAUGUCGCUGACUAUUACUGUCAGCAGUAUAGCAGCUACCCGCUUACGUUCGGUAAAGGAACCAAGCUCAGACUGAUCCGUGACAACUCUCAGCCCAAGCUGACCCUGCUGCCCCCCUCCCCUGAGCAGAUUAAUGCCAAGGACACUGCCACCCUGGUGUGCCUUGCCAAUCACUUUUAUCCCGAUGAGCUGGAGGUGCAGUGGAAGAAAGACGGUGCAGUCAUUUCGGACGGGGUUCAGACCAGCAACUACCUGCGAGCUUCGGACAGCACCUACAGUGUCAGCAGCCUGCUGACCCUCUCUGGGUCUGACUGGGAGUCCAACGCUCGCUUCUCCUGUGCCCUCACCCACGUGACCCUCCCCUCUCCCCUCAGCAAGAGCAUCAGGAGAUCAGAAUGUGUUUAGAGUGUUGGAGACA